rnacentral:rRNA from 1 species
AGUGAAUGCUGGCGGUAGGCCUAACACAUGCAAGUCGAACGGCAGCACAGUAAGAGCUUGCUCUUACGGGUGGCGAGUGGCGGACGGGUGAGGAAUACAUCGGAAUCUACUUUUUCGUGGGGGAUAACGUAGGGAAACUUACGCUAAUACCGCAUACGACCUACGGGUGAAAGCAGGGGAUCUUCGGACCUUGCGCGAUUGAAUGAGCCGAUGUCGGAUUAGCUAGUUGGCGGGGUAAAGGCCCACCAAGGCGACGAUCCGUAGCUGGUCUGAGAGGAUGAUCAGCCACACGGGACUGGAGACACGGUCCAGACUCCUACGGGAGGCAGCAGUGGGGAUUAUUGGACAAGGGGCGCAAGCCUGAUCCAGCCAUACCGCGUGGGUGAAGAAGGCCUUCGGGUUGUAAAGCCCUUUUGUGGGGAAAGAAAAGCAGCAGGUUAAUACCCCGCUGUUCUGACGGUACCCAAAGAAUAAGCACCGGCUAACUUCGU